rnacentral:rRNA from 1 species
AUUGAACGCUGGCGGCAGGCCUAACACCUGCAAGUCGAGCGGAGCGGCGGACGGGUGAGUAAUGCCUAGGAAUCUGCCUGGUAGUGGGGGAUAACGUCCGGAAACGGGCGCUAAUACCGCAUACUAUCAGAUGAGCCUAGGUCGGAUUAGCUAGUUGGUGGGGUAAAGGCCUACCAAGGCGACGAUCCGUAACUGGUCUGAGAGGAUGAUCAGUCACACUGGAACUGAGACAGGGCCCAAACUCCAAGGGAGGGCAUCGGUGGGAAAUAUUGCACAAUGGGCGCAAGCCUGAUGCAGCCAUGCCGCGUGUAUGAAGAGGUCCUUCGGGUUGAAAAGUACUUUCAGCGGGGAGGCGUUACCCGCAGAAGAGGCACCGGCUAACUCCGUGCCAGCGGCCGCGGAAAUA